UACGUAGGCAGCAAGCGUUGUUCGGAGUUACUGGGCGUAAAGGGUGUGUAGGCGGUUCUUAAGUUUGGUGUGAAAUCUCCUGGCUCAACUGGGAGGGUGCGCCGGAAACUGGAGUGCUUGAGCGUGGGAGAGGAAAGCGGAAUUCCUGGUGUAGCGGUGAAAUGCGUAGAUAUCAGGAGGAACACCUGUGGUGUAGACGGCUUUCUGGACCAUAGCUGACGCUGAGACACGAAAGCGUGGGUAGCAAACAGG
rnacentral:rRNA from 1 species